AAUUAUAUUAAUAAACAUAAAUAAGAAAAAUACAUCAAUUUUAAAAAUCAAACAUAAAUUUUAAAUAAAUAUAGAAAUGACUAUUCCAGCUCCAGUGGUUUAAAUGUGCUCGAUCAAAUCGCCUUGAAGCGAUGCAACAAUUAAUCUAUCUCUGAGAGCUGAAUCUCUCGGAAAAUAGCCAUCAAAACAAGGCAUGAGUAAUUAGCGGGCAUCAGCAGAGCUACUGCAAGACACUCUGUUAAUCGGGGAAGUCGUGCCACUACUCGUGCAUUUGAAGAAAUCGCGUGAUGUCGGUCGGUGUAGGGCGCCGGAGGUAUUCUGCGCUAUAUGCCUUGAUGAUUGCUCUACAUAACCGCUUGAGCCAUAGCCGGUCAGUGAAGUGAGGUACUCAUCGAAAGUGUAUGCUGAAACAUCGGUAGCUAGUUGCCGGAUAGCCACUGUACUAUACAUUUCUGCAACGACGUGAGCGAGUCCCGAUCCGUACAAUCUUUCUCUAUUCAAAAAUUCAAAUUCACUUGUUGGACACUAUAACGAUGCAUUCAAACAAAUCCUUCUGCAUUCGAAAACAAGUUGGAAAAAAAUUGGACCGUAAAUUGGGUUGUCGUUGAAAUAACCUUGAAGUAUCCAUUAAUGGGCGGCCUCACAAUGGCGAUACAUCAAGCCCCUCGUCGAGAGAGCUCUUUUGGGUGCUUGGUUCAAAUUUUGACACGCACCUCACCUGACUCUUUCAUUUGAGCCGCACCUCAAGCUCCACCGUCAAGCUCGGCCGGGCAAUAAGCCGGAGCGGUGCUGAUGCUGUGAUUCUAUUCCACCCUUAUCAAAAUAUUGCAAAGGGAUAUAUUAAACUAU
rnacentral:lncRNA from 1 species